GAGUCAUAUGAGAAAGGAUUGAAGGACUCAGUCAGGAGGCCUUCAACUACCACCCUGGACCCAGGAGGAAGGCUCUAGGAAAGGCUGUGGCUACUGGAAAGAUUUGGGGACUCUGAGAAUAUCCUUGUCUUGCUCAGACAAUUUCUACCUUAGGUGACCAUCAAAUAUUCCAAGCUAGGGCUGGAGGACUUUGACUUCAAACACUACAAUAAGACCUUGUUUGCUGGAUUAGAGCCCCACAUUCCCAAUGCCUACUGUAACUGCAUGAUCCAGGUAAGGGUUGGGUAUUCCUAUAACUUGAACGUGCCUGCUGCUUUUCUUCUUCCCUAUGGCUCUCGACCCUGCUCUUUCCAGGUCUCCUCAGCCGUGUUCUCUUUACCAUGGUCUCCUCUACAAUUCUUUCUUUCCUCUACAACUUUCAAGUCUCCUCUGAGCUCCACCGGUUUGGUGGACUCACUGCUUCGGUGGACUCCUGCUGUGUAUUUUCUCCACCAGCUCACUUAACCUCCAUAUUUCUCCUCACCCCCAGGCCAGUUUCCUACAUCAGUUCUUCUGCUUUUCCCUCCAGGUGCUCUAUUUCCUGGAGCCUGUACGCUGUCUAAUUCAAAACCACCUUUGCCAGAAGGAGUUCUGUCUGGCAUGUGAGCUGGGCUUCCUGUUUCACAUGUUGGACCUCUCUCGUGGUGACCCUUGCCAGGUCAGUACUUGGAGACACUUAAAAUGGAAGGGGAAGGAAGGUGGACACAAAAGACAAAAUAACCCCUUUCCACCAACACAUUUCCAGGGCAAUAAUUUUCUUCGGGCAUUCCGUACCAUUCCUGAGGCCUCAGCCCUCGGUCUAAUCCUGGCUGACUCAGAUGAGGCCUCAGGCAAGGGCAAUCUGGCCAGGCUCAUUCAGAGGUGGAAUCGCUUCAUUCUCACUCAACUGCAUCAAGAUAUGCAGGAGCUGGAAAUACCACAGGCUUAUCGAGGUGCUGGAGGCAGGUAUGAAAUCAGGAUAGAAAUAGUUAAAGCCAUCAUGACAGGCCCCUCUGUGAUUUAAAAGGUCUCCUAACUUCCUCAAUGUGCAUAUAUCAUCCUCUCCACUCUUAGCAGCUUUUGCUCAUCGGGGGACUCUGUUAUUGGGCAGCUCUUCAGCUGUGAGAUGGAGAACUGCAGCCUCUGCCGCUGUGGCAGUGAGACCGUGCGAGCCUCAUCCACCCUGCUUUUCACACUCUCCUACCCUGAUGGUAGCAAAAGUGGUGUACCCUUCAGCUCAGUUGGGAAGGCUCCCCAAAAUGUCCUGUAAUAUCAGGGAGAGGGUGUUGGGGACUAACUGUGGGUAGAGGGGAGAACCAGGAGUAUAGCAUCUAAUUUUCCCUCAGAUAAAACUGGGAAGAACUAUGACUUUGCUCAGGUGCUGAAGCGAAGCAUCUGCCUGGACCAGAAUACACAGGCCUGGUGUGACACCUGUGAAAAGUACCAGCCCACGAGAUUCAGACCCGCAACAUCCGCCAUCUGCCAGAUAUUCUUGUCAUCAAUUGUGAGGUGAACAGCUCAAAAGAGGCUGAUUUCUGGAGAAUGCAGGCUGAGGUGUUGCCUUCAAGAUGGCAGUAAAGAAACACG
rnacentral:lncRNA from 1 species